rnacentral:tRNA from 1 species
GCUGUUAUAGCUCAGUAGGCAGAGCACUUCCUUGGUAAGGAAGAGGUCGGCAGUUCGAAUCUGCUUAACAGCUCCA